CACGAAGCAAGCUGAGCUACCGCAGGGCUAAUAAUUAAAUUAGAAUAUGUUGCAUAAUAUUCGAUUGACGUUGCGUUAGGGGUGAUAGGCUUAACAAAUCUUGCGAUAACUUGAUGUCUUUGAAAAGUAUUAAGUACGUAGUUAAUUGAAGAGUGCUAAGGUUCUUCAAAUAUAUAAAUAUUUGUUUUUUUUUAAAAUGAUCUAACGAUCUAUUUUUCUUUAAAGAAAAUAUAUUUUUAAUAGUAUUGUAUUAUUUAAAAGAUAUUAUAAAACUUUGUAAAAUAUUAUUAAUGUUAUUAUAAGUAAUUAUAAAGAUACUAUAAAUGAACUCGGCAAUACAUCUCUCAGCUGUUUAUCAAAAACAUCGCUACCAGCAUACACUGGUAGUCCCUUCUGCUCAAUGAAAUUUAAAUAGCCGCAGUACCUUGACUGUGCAAAGGUAGCAUAAUCAGUUGGCUUAUAAUUGAAGUCUAGUAUGAAUGAAAAUAUGUGAGGUGACUAUAUCUGUAGUAUAUUUUGAAAUUGCUUAGUGAGUGCAAAUUCUCACUUAUAAACUAUAGACGAGAAGACCCUAGAAAUUUUAAGAAAACGUUCUUUUUGUUUUUGUUGGGGCAACAAAGUAACAGAUAACUUACUUAGUAGACAAGAAAUUUAAUAGUAAGAGAAAAUUACUCUAGGGAUAACAGCGUAAUAUUAGAAUGUUUGCGACCUCGAUGUUGGAUUAGGAAGCGAUGGCU
rnacentral:rRNA from 1 species